UACGUAGGGUGCGAGCGUUGCCCGGAUUUAUUGGGCGUAAAGGGCGCGUAGGCGGCUCGGCACGUCCGUUGUGAAAUCGCCCCGGCUCAACUGGGCGGGGUCGGCGGAUACGGCCGAGCUGGAGCAAGCUAGGGGGUAAUGGAAUUCCCGGUGUAGUGGUGGAAUGCGUAGAUAUCGGGAAGAACACCCGUGGCGAAGGCGGUUCUCUGGGACGGUACUGACGCUGAGACGCGAAAGCGUGGGGAGCGAACAGG
rnacentral:rRNA from 1 species